UAAAGGGAAACGAGGGAAACGGCAGAAAGCCAGGAGAAAAGUUAAUGGCUUAUUUCACAUGCCUAUCAGGAAAAUAAAAAGAAUAGCUUGAACGAUGGAAGGGAACUAGGAUUCCCAAUUCGAGGCCAGUUUCUUUAUCAAAAAUGCUGAAGUGAUGCCGGUUUUCAUGGCGUCGAUUGGAUUUCAUAUGUACCCACUGUUAUUUACAGUGUUGAAUUUCCUCAUUGGGUAAUUUUUUGAUUCAUGAUCAUAGAAAAUUGCACCUUGGGAAAAAUCGCAGUUGCUGUGUUUUGAAGAUUCUUGUGGAGGAUUAAGAGGUUUUAUUGCUGCUUUGGGCACAACAGCCACAUGGACGUGGAUCUGCAAACUCCAGGCUGGUCUGAAUCCCUCCUGCGGCGUUACACGGUGGAGAUCUUCGAACCAGCUGGCAAACACUGUCGCAGGCCUGUGAAUGUGUGCCCAUGCCAGCGUGCUGCUGGAUCAUGGGGUCUCCAUCACAUCUAUGCAGGUGAACAACCUCCGAUUCAUUUUGCUACAUGCACAGAGGCUUCUGGGUAAUACAUACAACAUGGGCUUGCCAGCGAUGUACCCAUGCAUGAGGUAUAAAAGCUCAUCAAACAACCUAAUGACUUCCUUUCUCAGUUCAGCAUGACAGACACAAUGGUAUCACAUUACACACAUCCCCCCCCCCCCCCCGUCCAUUUGUCCUUACAUUCCCACAGUUUCCUGGGGCAUCUUUGACAGAUGCAGCCUGUUGGAGUGGUGAGUGGGGGGGAUGAGACACGGUCUGUUUCUGCAUCCUCAGUCCUCCCACCCAGCAGGGGGCGCUAUAUAGUACCUGGUCCCCAUCAGGGAAGAUGGGGCCGCCUGUGCCGCGGGUUUCGGAUGGAUGAGACGGUUCUGUCCACCUUUGGAGCCCCCUGCUCUCUCCGGGGUUGAUUUGUCGAACAUCUUGCUGCCUGUGGUGGCGAAUCAGCUGCCACAUACCAUUGAUUUUUUCUUUCUAGAGAAAUGUUCAGGUUUCUGGUGGAUUCUGUCGGCCUAAGUGAACUUAGCGUGACGCUGGCAUCUGUAACCACACCGCACGGAUUUUAUCACAUUGGCUCUACAUUCCUUAUCUGUUCUUCUUUUGCUUUCUGUCAUGUGCUUGUCCUUCCUUCUUGCUGAAGCCCAGAAUCCCUCGUCUCCUGUCUGGAGCUGCGUUUUCUGCCGGUUAGUGUGAUCGCCCGCACGCUCCGGGUUUUCCCGUUAAUGUUCUGGGCUUGGCGAGACGCCGGGGCGGCUGCUCGCGGGUCCCGGAAGGGCUGCUGAGGGUUGGUGCGUUCCUGCGUGUGGAUCCUGUGAUCUGAGCACACUCCUCAGUUGGUGAGAUGCCGGUGAAGAUGUCUAGGCUGCAGGCCCACGUGGGGAGAGAUCUGGGUCAAAGGCCUUCGCCAGCCGCACAGACUGCCCCCCCACCCCCCAGCCCAACAGCCGAAGCAAGCAUUAGGACCUGGAUCUUCUUCAAUAUCCCUCUAAUUACACUGUGACUCUGUGAGGCGCUGAGGUCGAGCACCAGCCUGUCAGUCUGCUCCACCCACAGGGAGCUCCGCCCUCUGAGGACAGUCGGCAGGAGCCAGAUGAUUUUCCAUAGUGUUUUGGCACACGGCCUGUAACCCUGUCAAUCCCUCAACCUAAACUACUCCAGUGAGGACUGUGAUUGGACAGCAGACGCAAGGGUCAACAUUCAGCCCCUGAAGUGUUCAAUCAGGUAGAGCAUCUCCUCUGGAGAGGAAUGAAACAGAAGAGAACCCAAUGGGAAAUAAGCACCAUCUCUUCACGGCAUCUUUGUUGGUUGUUGCUACAUAAGAACAGAGUGUGAAAUGCAGCCCUUUCUUGGAUCGACCGCUGGUCUCCUACUCUGACACACCCAUUAAUUCAGAUCUUCUGAGCUGCCACCUUCAGGAUUCUGAAACUCGGUGCCUGAAUAUGAUGGCGGGGAUCCCUGUAGGCCCAUUUGGGAAGCUACUGCUAAACACAUCAUUACCAGCCCUAUCCUGCACACUGAGACCCGACACAGUCUGGAGCUCAGGGUGGGAACCACGUAGCGGACGUCAUAGCUCUGGAUAGCCUGAGCUGAUCCAGGAUCAGCACACAACACAAGGCACCAGCGUCACUCAGUUCCAUUUGACAUUUUGGGACCUGUGUGAUCAUUCAUGCCUGUGUCCAUGUUAGAAAAACAAAAUAAGUAGGUUUUGUCCCAAAGUGGCCAUGUCAACAAGAUUAAUGACAAAGGGGGAUGGAAAUUCUUAUCUAAGAACAGCCCUGGGGAGCAAUGAAAGGUUUUGCCGACUGGUACCUGAGGCUGAUUUAUGUGGUGUUUUUGUAUUGGGGAGGGCAUCCCCCCAAACGAUGGCCGAAGCUGGUGUUUCUGGGGUCUGUUUGGUGUGCUGGAGCUGGUAAUGGUCUCCAUGGGCGACACAACAAGGAGGAGGGGAGAGGAGUCCAUGGCACACGAUCCUAGGGGCCUUUGGAUCCAGCCACCCACCAUCGUCGGGGCAUAUGUGGAAUGGAGUGGAACACCCGGUGUUCAGGUUCCUGGGUACUGAACUGAAGGAUGACCUGGCCUGGAGUGCAAACACCAAGGAGCUGCAGAAAAAGGCACAGCAGAGACUGUAGAAUCGUCUCCCCAAAGGUCUUCUCCGUGACUUUUACCACUGUUCCAUCGAGAGCGUACUUACGUACGCCCUUUGCAUAUGGCGCGGCAGCUGCAUUUCCUCAGAUGCGAAAGCUCUCCACAGGGUCAUCAGGGCAGCAGAGAAAACAACUGGCUGCCCUCUUCCCACCCUGAAACAAAUUUACACCUCCCGAUUCUGGAAUAAAGCUAUGGACAUUUUACAUGAUUCAUCACAUCCCGGUCACUGUCUCUUUCAGCUUUUGCCAUGAGGCAAGAGAUACAGAACAAUGAAAACCAGGACAAAAAGACCAGGCCUAAAAAACGGUUUUUAUCCGAAAGCAAUAAUGGCCAUAAACUCAAAAUAGAAAUGUAAAUUUUUAUAUUUCAUAAGUGCAAUUUGUAUAAUCAGUACAAUUUGUGUAGUCAGUGCCAUUUGUAUAUUUUAAAUAUAUUUUUUUAUUACUCUUAUGCCUCACAUU